CACAUGACCGGGAUAUCCGUCCUGAAUCUCGUUUGAGAACGAGUGGAUGUUUUGGUUUGCAAGUGUGGAAUGCAACAACGACCGCAGGACGCGUGAAAUGUGGGACGUGUGAAACGUUGGCGGAGCUGAGUGUUUUGUCGUCGUUGUGAAACAGGGCAUUGUGGGAUCUGCAGGCGCCAUUCACCCACCAGGACCUGACGGGCACCGCAUGGUUCGGCAGAAGGGUGUGAUUUUUAGGCCUCGAUGGUCUGCGGCCCCACUUGGCGGAAUGCAGGACGAGUUACCGAUGGCCUUUAAAUAGGAUCAACUCAGGCUGAUCCUAAAAACUGACGAACUCGUCAGCUGCAGACGAUGGAUUAUAAAGGUUGACUUUUUAACCGUCGCCUGGCCCAAUCACAGAUCACGCGCCCCAAAGUCGGCGAAGGUACACGACAGUGAGCCUUUUCAGAGGGAUUCCGAUGUCAGGUCCAAUCAUGGACAUACAUCCAAGGAAG